rnacentral:rRNA from 1 species
AAGCGACCAAGCGUACACGGUGGAUGCCCUGGCAGUCAGAGGCGAUGAAGGACGUGCUAAUCUGCGAAAAGCGCCGGUAAGGUGAUAUGAACCGUUAUAACCGGCGAUGUCCGAAUGGGGAAACCCAGUGUGACUCGUCACACUAUCAUUAACUGAAUCCAUAGGUUAAUGAGGCGAACCGGGGGAACUGAAACAUCUAAGUACCCCGAGGAAAAGAAAUCAACCGAGAUUCCCCCAGUAGCGGCGAGCGAACGGGGAGGAGCCCAGAGCCUGAAUCAGCAUGUGUGUUAGUGGAAGCGUCUGGAAAGGCGCGCGAUACAGGGUGAGAGCCCCGUACACAAAAGCGCACAUGCUGUGAGCUCGAUGAGUAGGGCGGGACACGUGGUAUCCUGUCUGAAUAUGGGGGGACCAUCCUCCAAGGCUAAAUACUCCUGACUGACCGAUAGUGAACCAGUACCGUGAGGGAAAGGCGAAAAGAACCCCGGCGAGGGGAGUGAAACAGAACCUGAAACCGUGUACGUACAAGCAGUGGGAGCCCCACCACUAAGCCAGUGGUGAACUCCACAUACGCAUCCUUUGCGGAAGAUGCGGUUAACGGAGCGAAAGCGACGUUCAACCUCAGAAGAAGCAGAGGGGGCUUAGUGGUGGGGUGACUGCGUACCUUUUGUAUAAUGGGUCAGCGACU